GUAACGAGAGAAUACAAAAGGCGCGAUUUUCAAAUGGUUGGUGUGCCUUUAGGUCCAUGUGACUUGGAGUGCACCCAGCUGCAAUAAAGAACUUCUCGCCACACUUUCCUUGUCCUACAGGUAUAUUUUUUUCUGUUUUUAAAUUUAAAGGAAGGAUUUUUCCUACAAAGCCAAGUAAUGCCUCUUCACAAAUAAGCAGAAAGCCUGUAGUCUGGUAACAGGGACCUCAUUUGAGAGAUAAGAAAAUAGCCUGAUUUAGAGAAGGGACAAGUUGUGUCUUCUACCUUUUAGGUGAGUGUCCUAAUCCAUAGGCAAUAGGUGAUUCUAGGAUGGGAGCUUCUCCUUCUGGGGCAACUUCUGUUGUGAAACAAAAAGAAAAUAAGGCAUUGAAAAAGGCAGCAAGAGUCUGGCCUUACAGCUAGUUGACAAGAGCAGCCUUCUAGGAUGUCUGAGACUCAUGAGGCUCUGGCCUUCUGGACUCAGGAUGUAAUCUUGAACAAAGCUCUCUUGUAAGUCAGAGAAUUUCCCAUCCAUCCUGGAAGGAGACUUUUCAGGUUAUGGAAAUGGAAGGUCAAGAAGUUGCAGUCACCUUUAAGAGACAACUCUGGUCUGUUUUUGAAUCUCCUCCAGCAUUCUCCACAUGCCAGAUGACAUGACAAGUUGCUGAAAAAAACAACCAAAGAAGGACCUAUACUUUCCAUCCCAAUGCAAGUUACAUCUGGGAUAAUCACAAGCAGCAAUCUGAGGCACAACAUGGCAGUGACCCUGGUGCCCUCUGGAAGUCUGGAGUGCAGCAAAGAACAAAAUGGGAAACCUGUUACCUUACAGAUUCAUCAUGCAAUGCCAUUAAGUUUCAGAAGGCCAGUAGAACUGGAAGAUGACUUGUAAGGUACAAAGAGGCUCAAUUUUAACUUUCCAGAACUAGAUAUUUCUGGGGAUUAGUUUCCUUCCAAAGUACAGGAAGGAGCCAGUAUUCCCUCUGCAAAUCCUGCCCCAUUCACGUAACAAUACCUCUUCUGGUUGCUGGCAGUGAGUCAAGGUUUAAGAUUUUAUUUCAUUCUCCUUUUGGUACAGUGUGGUAUGUAACAGCCACAGCAGACUAUACAGUCUUGAGCGCUGGCACAAGUCAGAGGUGUACAUAUCUUAGCACCCAGAAGGGGCUGUUCUGAUGCUGUGGUAACAUAUAGAGCCAUAGAGGUGACAUCAACUGGGGAUGUUAAGUGCUUAGUCCUCUCUUCUGUGCCUGGGAAUGGUGGUGACUCUAGCUGUACAAAAAGCCUCACCAUGAUACAGAUUUUAUUUCCAAGAAAAUGUCUGGUGAACUGCAAGGAAUUGUCACCAAGUUGGCCUUAGAAAAAGAAUUGCUUCUUCUUGACACUUAGCCCAGUGCUAAAUAGCUGAGUAGAAAUUUAAUUCUGUCAGGUUCCUUCACUGAAUAUGAAAUAAUACUAAAAGAGCUCUGAUGUAAUUUCUUUUAUAUUUUAAUAUUAUAUCUUGGAAUCCGAGAUUUGUCAAGAAACCUGUGGGAGGCAGGUGCCCUAAUCUCACCAAGUUUCCAGUGGAUUCCCUCUGGUGCUUUAAAUCCUUGUGUAGAAAAUUGAAUGUUAUGUUGGCCUGAAUAAAACACAAGCUUAAUUUUAGGCAUGGGCCUGGGUCUGUGGACUUCUCAUAUUUGAAAUUAAGUACCCUCUCAGAGGUUAACUGAGCCAGACAUUUCUGUUCCUUUUCUGGUUGGCUGUUUCUUUUUUUUCUUUUUCUUAUUAUCUCUUCUACCUCUACUUUUCUAUUCAUAAUUUCCUCAUUCUUCCAUCUGCCUCCAUUUCCUGCAGCAUCCUCCACCCUGCUCUAGCUUUCCCUCUCUUUUUUCCUUCCUUUCUUCCUAAGGAAUCUUCUUUUCCAACUGUAGUGAAGUAGUCCUAAGAGGAACUGGCAAACAGCAUGCUAAUGAAUUUGGCAGCAAACACUAAUUUGGGAGAUAUUACAAGUGUCAGCAUGGGAUAAAUAACCCUAGAGAAAAAGAAAAAGAUUAAGUUACAUCUUAAGAAAUGUAUUUGGGGGAAAUCAAUCAAAUUCACAGCUAUUUCUUAGGACAGAGAAACCUGGAAAGAAGGGUAUGACCCCGUGGUUUGUAUCAGCUUGAUCCUGUCAAUUUGAACCCCGACUUCAGUAACUUGCUCUCUUUUUUAUGUGUUGUACAGUCUUUGAAUUUCUUCGGAGAUGGAACCAUAAAAUUUGCAGAAGACAAACUGUUUCCCCCUCUAUAUUUGAGCAGUUCCUAUUCAAAUCAAAUAUUCACCUUAAUUGAGGACACAAGACUAUUGUGAUACAGUAGAAAGAAUAUUAAUAAUUGUGCAGUGAUACAGCAUUGCAAAAUCAUACGUAUUCUUGGAAUGUAUAUCUAAAAGAAUCACAACUCUGAAGUGGAUGGCACUUAUUAAGCAGUUGUACUUGGAGGAUGAUGUUGAAUCCUGGCUUGUAUCAGAAAUAGUGUGGCCAGCAGGACUAGGGCAGUGAAUCAUCCCUCUGUACUGGUGCACUGGUGAGGCCACACCUCGAGUACUGUGACCAGUUUUGGGUCCCUCACUACAAGAAAGAUAUGGAGAUGCUGGAGCAUGUCCAGAGAAAGGCAAUGGAGCUGGUGAAGGGUCUGAAGCACAGGUUGUACGACCAUCAGCUGAGGGAUGUGGGGUUGUUUAGUGCAGAGAAAAGGAGACUCAGAGGGUACCCUAAUGCUCUCUACAACUACCCAAAACGAAGUUGUAGAGAGGUGGGUGUGAAUCUCCUCACCCAGGUAACAAGUGAUAGGACAAGAGGAAAUGGCCUCAGGUCACACUAGGGGAGGUUUAGAUUGGAUAUUAGGAAAAAUUACUUCACCGAAAGGGUUGCCGAGCACUGGAACAGGAUGCCCAGGUAAGUGGUGGAGUCACCAUCCCUAGAAGUAUUUAAAAGGCAUGUAGAUGGGGCACUCAGGGACAUGAUUUAUGGUGGACUUGGCAGUUCUAGAUUAACAAUUGGUCUUGAUCCUAGAGUUCUUUUCCAACCUAAAUUAUUCUAUGAUUCUAUGCUAUGCUAUCUUACCAUAAUUUAGCCAUGAGUAUGAGGGAGGACAUAUACUAUGAAGAGGAUAAAAUUUCACUUUUACGAAUAUUUUUGAGAUUUAUCUUUGUUCUAAUUAGGAAUUCAAUCUGGAAAAUCUUGAAACCCUUAAAAAUUCCUUAAAAAUCCCCCAAACUUCUGGAAGAAAAAUGAAGCUGAUUGAAAUGUUUAACGAUGGCACCUUUUCAUUUAUGCUACACUGUAUUUGAACGCUAUGCUAAUUUAAAUUAAAACCAUAGUGAUUUAGAAAUUAAAAUGUUUUGCUCUGAAAAAAAUAAAAAAUGUAUACUUUGAAGCUGCCAGAACAUUUUUAUGCCGUUCUUAAAACACUUUCAUGGAAAUGACAUGAUUUCAAAAGGUAUUCUUCUCGAAGGAGCUGCCUUUUCAGAGAAAAGGUUUCCACUGAUGUAUUUUCUUUGACCAUUUUAAAGCUCCUGCACUACAGUUAUUUAGAAAAAGCACAUGGAGUAGUGAUUGUGACACUUUCCAGUGGCUAGUGCAAAUUCAUUUUUAAAACAUUGUAU